rnacentral:rRNA from 1 species
GAUGAACGCUGGCGGCGUGCCUAAUACAUGCAAGUCGAGCGAAUGGAUUAAGAGCUUGCUCUUAUGAAGUUAGCGGCGGACGGGUGAGUAACACGUGGGUAACCUGCCCAUCAGACUGGGAUAACUCCGGGAAACCGGGGCUAAUACCGGACAACAUUUUGAACCGCAUGGUUCGAAAUUGAAAGGCGGCUUCGUCUUGCACUUAUGGAUGGACCCGCGUCGCAUUAGCUAGUUGGUGAGGUAACGGCUCACCAAGGCAACGAUGCGUAGCCGACCUGAGAGGGUGAUCGGCCACACUGGGACUGAGACACGGCCCAGACUCCUACGGGAGGCAGCAGUAGGGAAUCUUCCGCAAUGAACGAAAGUCUGACGGAGCAACGCCGCGUGAGUGAUGAAGGCUUUCGGGUCGUAAAACUCUGUUGUUAGGGAAGAACAAGUGCUAGUUGAAUAAGCUGGCACCUUGACGGUACCUAACCAGAAAGCCACGGCUAACUACGUGCCAGCCGCCGCCGUAA